rnacentral:rRNA from 1 species
UACGAAGGGGCUAGCGUUGCUCGGAAUCACUGGGCGUAAAGGGUGCGUAGGCGGGUCUUUAAGUCAGGGGUGAAAUCCUGGAGCUCAACUCCAGAACUGCCUUCGAUACUGGAAGACUUGAGUCGGGAGAGGUGAGUGGAACUGCGAGUGUAGAGGUGAAAUUCGUAGAUAUUCGCAAGAACACCAGUGGCGAAGGCGGCUCACUGGCCCGAUACUGACGCUGAGGCACGAAAGCGUGGGGAGCAAACAGGG